CAAUGUACCUACCUAUAUACUUUAAGUUUAAAAAAUUUGGCUCUCCAAAGAAACUUCAUUCGUUGUACUGUUGAUAUUUGGCUCUGUUGACUAAUGAGUUUACUGAUCACUGGUAUAGGCCAUGCUUAAGAUUUUUUAGGGUGCCUCAAAUUUGAGUUCAUCUUUU